AAUAGGGGCUGUAAGCUCGCAAACGAGAUGACGCGAGAUUUGAGUACUUCCGGUGACAAACAAACCUUUACGGUUUGCAUGAAAUCAUACCAGUUGGAAAUAUCCUGCAGUUUUUAUCGUUGUUUUUGGUCGAUGCAAAGAAGUGGACGUUAUGGGGAAAGUUGUGCAGGUUAGAUGGAUCGAUCCCAUUGAGACUACUCUCUUGAAAUAUUCCCGGACACCUUGAUACCCAGGCCAUGACAUACAGUUCCUGUAAGUGCUGACAUACCGUCAAAGCAGUGACUUGUGUAACACCGAAUGGUGCAAUCACUCAUUUUUCAACUUUGAGUAUUGGGAUCAACAUGUACUCCACAGAAAAGUUCCAGCAAAACCCAAAGCUGGAAAACCAUCUGUGAUCAAUUAAAACAAUGUGUCCUUGAACAUUCCCGCUUUUUAUCCUUGAGAGGACAGUUGGCUUAUAAAAAAGUUGAACUGUGUUACAUAUUAGCCAGGAGAGUAUUUACGUCUAGAGGGCUAACGAAAGGAUAAAAUUCACAUGCCAGCAGUCUGCGAGCCAAUAUUAACCAAGAUAAAUAUGUGCAUGGGAUGCAUUAAACAGUAUAUUAAAUUCUAAUAACUGUUUAUUCAACCGUAAUAUUUUUAAAACAUUUUCUGGAGUGACUGUUAAGUACAAUGCUCUACAUGUUCACAUCUUCAGGAAUUAAGCACUCGGAGUUUUUUUUUGGGGGGGGGAUUUUAAUAUCGUUUUCUUCAUUUAUUAUUAUUAUUUGCAAAUCUUGUAUGAUUAAAAUAAAACUCGUGUGUUAAAUAGUUUAGUAUAAAUAAAAAAUGCACUAUUGAUUGUUAUUGUUUUACUAAGUAUGUUUUAUCAAUACAUGUUGAUUUUGAAUUCAUUCAGGAAUGGAAAUAUUAAAAGAAUAAUUCUGUUAAUGACUUAAUGUUGUGUCCAUUCAGAGUCCUUUAUGAUCCGGGAAAAUUCUACAGUCAGCUGUUGUCCGAAUAAUUAAGUUGCAGUAAUAAAAUUCUAUCACUUUGCAA